rnacentral:rRNA from 1 species
GACGAACGCUGGCGGCGUGCUUAACACAUGCAAGUCGAACGGAAAGGCCCCUUUGGGGGUACUCGAGUGGCGAACGGGUGAGUAACACGUGAGUAACCUGCCCUUGACUUCGGGAUAACUUCAGGAAACUGGGGCUAAUACCGGAUAGGAAUCAUUGCUGCAUGGUGGGGGUUGGAAAGCUUCGGCGGUUUUGGAUGGACUCGCGGCGGAUCAGCUUGUUGGCGGGGUAGUGGCUUACCAAGGCGUUGACGGGUAGCUGGCCUGAGAGGGCGACCGGCCACACUGGAACUGAGACACGGUCAAGACUCCUAGGGGCGGCAGCAGUGGGGAAUAUUGGACGAUGGGCGCAAGCCUGAUCCAGUGCUACCGCGUGGUUGAAGAAGGCCUUCGGGUUGUAAAGCCCUUUUGUUGGGAAAGAAAAGCAGCAGGUUCAUACCCCGCUGGUCUGACGGUACCGAAAGAAUAAGCACCGGCUAACUUCGUG